UAGUGUAGCCGCAUGGCUAUGCUCUGCUCGCGCAUUUUUCAAAACAGUGCAGCCGUUCGGCUAUGGUCGGGCAUUUUUUAAAUAUAAAAAGUAUAGCCGCACGGCUAUACUGGUUUUGAGACGUGCCCCACAGGUGCUAGGCGGGUCUUUUUUUAUUUAUUAAUAGUAUAACCGAAUAGUAGCUGUACGCAAGUAAUUUUUUUUUUUAAUGAUCUAAACUACUCGAAUCAGUGCAUAAGCUCCCUACCAUCAAUUUCUCCAUUGAAGUGUUCAUGAUCAUGUGUUGCAGGUUUUGGUGAUUGUAUCUAUGCCUGAGUUUAGGAAAUAGCGCUUAAUGCCACUGCUUUCCAAAUUUUAUCUAAAAGUACCACCUUUACCCACACAUUUUGCAAAUAUAACCUAUAAAUACAUACCUAUUGCCCACUUAUCGGCCGCAUAACACUUUUGUUCAGUUUUUGUUUUCUCUCUCUCUCUCUCUCUCUCUCUCUCAUAGUUCUCUCUUCCUCUCUCAACGCUCUCUAUCUCUCUCUACAUCUAGCUAACUACGCCUCUUCUCACGAAGAAGAAGAUCAAGAACAACCUACAAAACCCACAGCUUUGCCCUCAAAACCCAAUUCUUCCUCUUCCUCUUCCUCUAUGUUUUCUUCUCUCCCCAAAUCCAAACCCCAACUUCGUCUCUCUUCGAAUCCCUUCUACAACUUAAACAAACCCAAAAAAAACCAUCUUUUCUGAAUAUGAUAGCGUGUCUUGGCAUUAGGUGGGCCAUUAUUUGAGCAUUUUGGUCCAAUUUUGGGGGUUUUGAAAUCAGGGUUUACAUGCCCUCUUCAAGAACAGCUUCUCCCGAAAAUGAAUUGUUGGGAAUAUGUUUUGGUGAUUGUAUCUAUGCCUGAGUCAAACAUAGUAUAGCCGCGCGGCGGUACUAUUUUUAAAAAUAAAAACCAGAGGUAUAUUGCUCUUGCUUUUCUUGAGUUUGAAUCGUGGUUGCCCAUUUUUCUCACGUUGAUGAAUUGAAGGUAGAUGCUCAAAUUCCUCAAUGAUGAUUUGAAUUUAAUCUACAUAUCGAUGCUCAUGGAAUAUCCUUUCAUGGUUAUUGUGAAAAGUUUUGUUCUUGGUUCAUGACAAUCAACCACAUUUUCUAUGUUUGAAAAUAGAGGGUAAAAAUUAAUGACAGACAAUAGCAGUGAUCCUGAAACUGAAAGUUACCCCCUGCCCAUGAUCCAUCAGCUUUCUUCAAGAUCACUUCCAUCAUAGCCACUUGGUAUAUAGUGCUUGGUCUAGACUUAUCAGUAAAGUGCUGUCUUUGAUUUGGAUUUGUAUAUCAUUGUUGCUUCAAUUUUUUAUUUUUUGGAAUUUUGACAUGGAAGGCAUGAUGCUUUUGGUUUGUAGGUUGUUGGGUACCUUAACAGCAAGCAGGCGGCACUGUUCAAAAGAAUGAUUUGGGAAGCAAUGAACAAGGACUAUGAUAAGGUGCAUUGUGAUCUGAAGCAUAGGCUUGGAAGUCUCAUCCAGCUUGGAGUUCUUGCCUAGUUCUGAGCUGUUAUUUCAGUCACACACUGCAUAACUGUGUUGAAAGUUUUUACUUCAAUCUUAUUUGCAUUUGACUUAUUUUUUGAUCUUUCGACUAUUUGUGUAUGUUUUACUGCCAGCAUUGAGUCUUAUGUAUUGAUCUCUAUGUGCAACUAUAAAAUUGGCAGGGAAAGAGUAGAAAACGAGCCAGAAUGGCCAAGAAAGCUGCUCCUGCUUAAAAGCCAGAAAAGGCUGUCAAAGUUUCUACUGUGAUGGAUACUAGGAAUAGGCUGAGUGCAAAAAUCAACUAUGAAGCUUUAGAUAAAUUAAAUGAAGAGCUUGGUUAUGCACCUGCAUUUGAGGAAGGCACAAAGUCUAACUGUGGCAGCCUUAGUGAUAUGCAACUGUCAAAUGAGAAGAACAGUCAUGAUGAUGAGUUUGAGCAUGAAAGUAAUGGUUACAGACUACAGUGAAAAGGCUGAAGCCAGACAAGGCCAAGAUGACAAUUCAUAUGUUGCGAAUGACAAAUAUAAUGGAUACAAUUAUGAUGAUGAAUGCAAUUAUGAUGAGGAAUGCGAUUUUGAAGAAUUGACUUAAAUAAUCAACUUUUUUUUUUCUUGAUUUAGAUUAUUUUUUUCAUGAACCAGUUGUAUCAUGUUACGAUCUAAAGGUUAAGCAAUUGAAUCUUCUGGUUUUUAACAACUUUUUCGAAUUGAAAUCAAUCAGAAGAGAGAUGCUAUUGAGCAUUGUUUGCAUGUGAAACUCUUUGAACU